rnacentral:rRNA from 1 species
UACGUAGGCAGCAAGCGUUGUUCGGAGUUACUGGGCGUAAAGGGUGCGUAGGCGGCUUUUUAAGUUUGGUGUGAAAUCUCCCGGCUCAACUGGGAAGGGUGCGCCGAAUACUGAGAGGCUAGAGUGCGGGAGAGGAUAGUGGAAUUCUUGGUGUAGCGGUGAAAUGCGUAGAUAUCAGGAGGAACACCGGUGGUGUAGACGGCUAUCUGGACCGUAACUGACGCUGAGGCACGAAAGCGUGGGUAGCAAACAGG